GAUGAACGCUAGCGGCGUGCCUAGUACAUGCAAGUCGAGCGAACGGACGAGAAGCUUGCUUCUCUGAUGUUAGCGGCGGACGGGUGAGUAACACGUGGAUAACCUACCUAUAAGACUGGGAUAACUUCGGGAAACCGGAGCUAAUACCGGAUGAUAUUUUGAACCGCAUGGUUCAAAAGUGAAAGACGGUCUUGCUGUCACUUAUAGAUGGAUCCGCGCUGCAUUAGCUAGUUGGUAAGGUAACGGCUUACCAAGGCAACGAUGCAUAGCCGACCUGAGAGGGUGAUCGGCCACACUGGAACUGAGACACGGUCCAGACUCCUACGGGAGGCAGCAGUAGGGAAUCUUCCGCAAUGGGCGAAAGCCUGACGGAGCAACGCCGCGUGAGUGAUGAAGGUCUUCGGAUCGUAAAACUCUGUUAUUAGGGAAGAACAUAUGUGUAAGUAACUGUGCACAUCUUGACGGUACCUAAUCAGAAAGCCACGGCUAACUACGUG
rnacentral:rRNA from 1 species